rnacentral:misc_RNA from 1 species
GAUGAAGAACGCAGCGAAAUGCGAUAAGUAAUGUGAAUUGCAGAAUUCAGUGAAUCAUCGAAUCUUUGAACGCACAUUGCGCCCCCUGGUAUUCCGGGGGGCAUGCCUGUUCGAGCGUCAUUUCACCACUCAAGCCUCGCUUGGUAUUGGGCAACGCGGUCCGCCGCGUGCCUCAAAUCGACCGGCUGGGUCUUCUGUCCCCUAAGCGUUGUGGAAACUAUUCGCUAAAGGGUGUUCGGGAGGCUACGCCGUAAAACAACCCCAUUUCUAAGGUUGACCUCGGAUCAGGUAGGGAUACCCGCUGAACUUAAGCAUAUCAUAAGCGGAGG